rnacentral:rRNA from 1 species
GACGAACGCUGGCGGCGUGCUUAACACAUGCAAGUCGAACGGAGUGGCGAACGGGUGAGUAACACGUGGGUGACCUGCCCUGCACUUCGGGAUAAGCCUGGGAAACUGGGUCUAAUACCGGAUAGUGUGGGAUGGGCCCGCGGCCUAUCAGCUUGUUGGGGGGGUAAUGGACUACCAAGGCGGCGACGGGUAGCCGGCCUGAGAGGGUGGACGGCCAAAUGGGGACGGAGAUACGGCCCAUAUUCCUACGGGGGGCAGCAGUGGGGAAUAUUGCACAAUGGGCGGAAGCCUGAUGCAGCGACGCCGCGUGGGGGAUGACGGCUUUCGGGUUGUAAACUCCUUUCACCAUCGACGCGGUAGAUGGAGAAGAAGCACCGGCGAACUACGUGCCAGCAGCCGCGGUAAUUC